GGGCCCGUAGCCCAGCCUGGACAGGGCAUCGGCCUUCUAAGCCGGGGGUCCCGGGUUCAAAUCCCGGCGGGCCCG
rnacentral:tRNA from 1 species